rnacentral:rRNA from 1 species
UACGUAGGGGGCUAGCGUUGUCCGGAUUUAUUGGGCGUAAAGAGCGUGUAGGCGGCCAGAUAGGUCUGCUGUGAAAACUCGAGGCUCAACCUCGAGAUGUCGGCGGAAACCAUUUGGCUAGAGUCCGGAAGAGGAAAGUGGAAUUCCUGGUGUAGCGGUGAAAUGCGCAGAUAUCAGGAAGAACACCCGUGGCGAAGGCAGGUUUCUGGGCCACUACUGACGCUGAGACGCGAAAGCGUGGGGAGCGAACAGGA